GAUGAAGAACGCAGUGAAAUGCGAUAAGUAAUGUGAAUUGCAGAAUUCAGUGAAUCAUCGAAUCUUUGAACGCACAUUGUGCCCCCUGGUAUUCCGGGGGGCAUGCCUGUCCGAGCGUCAUUACAACCCUCAAGCUCAGCUUGGUAUUGGGCCCCGCCGCUCCGGCGGGCCCUAAAGUCAGUGGCGGUGCCGUCCGGCUCCGAGCGUAGUAAUUCUUCUCGCUCUGGAGGUCCGGUCGUGUGCUCGCCAGCAACCCCCAAUUUUUUUCAGGUUGACCUCGGAUCAGGUAGGGAUACCCGCUGAACUUAAGCAUAUCAAUAAGCGGAGGA
rnacentral:misc_RNA from 1 species